ensembl:lncRNA
GUAUAACAAAGGAAGCCAGACUGACUGUGUGAUAGAUAAACCAAUGGGCUUACCUAUCUGAAGAGCAAUCAAAAUGAAUAUCGAAAGCAGCAGCUUCCAGAAAUAUCCUGAAGGCAUGAGAGGGCUAUUUUUCCUGGGCACAAUAUAAUUACAAAAUACCACUAUGAGAAAGACAGUUCCUGUAUUUAAAUUAUCCUGGCAGAUGUAGAUUUGCUACAGUAGCUUUAUUAAGGCAAUCAGAAAUUAAUACUCUAAGUCAUCUUGAGAGCCCAAUUCAGCCAAGGCUUUCAUCCUGUUGACAUCAAAGGAGUCAGUCAGUGAGUGUUGUCUGCUCCAUCAGUCUCAGAGGAGCAGGAGGGAGUGACAAAAGGCUUACAAGAUAUCAUGGAAGGCACGAUGGCUUGUUUAUAGAAUAAACACAACUAACACGCUUAAACUCCAUCAGUCAGACCUCGGUUGACCUGAAACCUUGAAAAUUUUACUCUUGGCUUCCACUAACCAAAGAACUCCUCUUCUGCUGCUGGGGAAUUAGAAAGGAGGGGCAGAAGGAAGUGAGAGUACCUCAGCAAACAGCUCAACUGACAUUGAAAACACAUGUUUAACAGAGAUCAGAAACGCAUAAAGCACUUUAGAUAAACCCAUGAGGCAUGGCAAGAUGUUUUGUUACAGGUGGAAAAUCUUUCGUUCUCACUGAUGAAGCAAAACUGGAACUGAGCAUACUUUGCACAAAUGCAUUUUAAACACACAGUGUGGACGGUAUGAAAUUUUUCCCAGUUUUUUUCUUCUCAGUACUGUAAAACUCAACUUAAGUAACUGUUUAAAGAAAAAACAGAUUAUGAGGAAAAUCCUGAGAGUUUAACUCACGCAAAGUAGAGACGUGUAAUGAAGAGCUUGAAUGCUGGAGAACAUCCUAUUUGUGCACACAGCAACAUGAGCAACCUGAAGAGCAGACUGAACCUGGGAGAGGAAGGUAACGCAUUGCAACGCCAGAGCCUGCUGCUGCUGAAAGGCAGCUGAAGCAACACUGCAGGCUCUGAGUUAAAAAUAACAACACAUUUCUUUUAACAAAACCUAAUACCUUAUCACACCAAUAAGAACAAAUGUAGAAAAAUAGUUGCUAUUCAAGAGAUAGUCAUAUCAACUCCUGUAAAAUUGUACGCAAGGAAUGUUAAAGAAGGAAAAACAAGCAUCCCAUGCAAUAUCUUUAGGUCCAAAUAGCCUGAAAAAAUCAGUUUGAAACUGUCUGAAAGGAGCUGUGUACAGCGGAUAAUGCUCAGUAUUACUAAUCAGUAAAGUGGUUAACCUGCACGUUCGUUACACAACAGAAGAGUUUGAGCACACAAAAGCAGUUGGUCAGUUCAUCUCUUCUAAUUUCUAUUGUGUUUGGCACUUUGUUUAUGUUUAUUUCAAGUGCAGCCAUUUAUAAUGUCAUAAGCAUAAGUCUUACAGACAUUCUUGUGGCGCAGCACAGACCAGCUCUCGGACAGCAUUAGCAUGGCUCCCUGAAAAGCAAUUACUGAUAUGCAAACUCUUUUUAUCACAGUUUUCUUACAGUCAAAAUUAAUUUCUUUUGUGUGAGAACUGGCCAUUUACCAGACAAAACUUCAUGUUUUUCAAAGAACACAUUACCAGAAAUCUAAUUACUGUUGUGUUUUUUUUUCCCCUAAUGUAGAUUACCAGAAAUCUAAAUCAUCUUUCUAUGUUGUUUUUUUUUUUUCCUUAAAACCCGAAACAUCUCAGGAUUGUCCCUGUGGUGGUUCAUGAAAACUGUAGCUGUCUCCAGUGCCCUCUGUUUCCCAGGUUUCCUAUCUGGGCAAGAUAUAAUACGAUGAGUCCCACAACAGGUCAGUAAAAGGGAAAAGCACACCAAGGGAGGAGCGGCUUGUUUAAGAAGCCCACACAGCUGAAGAGUUUGGAGUAUGAGGCAUGCAGACUACUGGUCUCAUGAGACACUUGAGGAGACUGGGCCUGUGUGAGGGCGUGCGGCCUGCGCAGUGGGUCAGGCACUGGGAUAGUGAUUCUUCACAGUGUGCAGCACAUCACUCAGCCAUACUCACACCUACAGCCUCAGGCAAGAGCAGGAUUCUGGAAAAUUCACUUUAUUUGCAAAUGCGCAUAGGGCAGAUUGACCAGGCACAACACAGAAAAGUAUCACUUGGACACAGACCAUCAUGUGUCUGCCUAAGACAACAGUAAAAAAUACAACGGUCAGGUGAGAUUGCUGACUCCCUUGUAUCUUGGUUUUAAAAUAUAAUACCAGUAUUGACUUCAGAUCUUGCUCGAUUGACUUUAAUUUGAGCCAGGCCUCUACAGAAAGCUGUUGCCCGGGUAACAAAUGCUGUGCACCAUAAUAAGGCAAAUUGCUGUUGAAAUAAAUAAUAAUUAUGGCCCAGGUUUCAAGAGUAUUCUCUUUCCCUUUAUUUUAAUCUUGCCCUGGGCAAGGCUGUGGACACUGGCUUUGCUGAGAGGGCAGAACAUGCACUCCCUCCUCUGCUCCCAUUGCACCCCUGGUCAUGCACAUAUGGAGACUUUCAAAAUUGUAUUUAUUUCCUCAAGGGUACAUCAAUACCAAGUGCAAAUACCAAGAGAAAGAGCUGCUCUUAUUCGGGCUCAGUGUCUCUCACCAGAGGGCUCACAGAGAAGUACUGCCAGCUGUGGCUCACCAGGACCUCGAGUCCUCUCCUGCACCCUGCAGAGCUCUGCCCUUGUGCACCAGCUCACAGCCUUGGGCACAGGGGCUGUUCAGCACACAUGGCUUUCCAUCUAACAGUUCAGUGAUUCACAGACAAGUAUGAGCUCGAAGGAGGGCAAGGGGUGACAUGCUGUCAUGCCUACCAUACAGUUUGCACUCAGAAAGUAUUUGCACUAGAAAAGCAGACAUUGAAGGGAAUCUGGGUGGAUGUUUUCACUUUUUCCCUUCUUCCCCAGUCUUUGUUGAGUAUGGCCCUCUCAUCACCUAACACAACCAGCCACUAUCUGGCUAUGCUGUGGUUGAAAUAGGAAUGGGACACAACCAGCCACAGGAGGCAUACGUUCCCCCACAGCCCUUCCACAGCCCUACAUUCCAUCUUGCUUUUUCAUCACCAGGGGUCAGAGCAAGGAAGUCAACUGUCAAGUGUAUGUGUGAGAGGUAAGCUGCCAUGAGACUGCACAAGAGACCAUGUCCCCUCAUCACGGGUGGUAGCUAUCAGCAAACACCUGCACUGGAAGGCAGCACACAGCCUCCUUGCUUAGACCUGAUACCCACAUCAUGUUAGAACCAUGCUCAGAUUAUCACUCCACACAGUUCCUCUACAAUCUACGAGGUUUUCUUCUGCAGAGUACGGCACAGAGGACAGUCCUUCUAUUCAACUAUAGAAGGUAUCUGUCUAGAAAGAGAGAUGGCAAGUCCAUCCAUAGAUAUUUUUUUGCUAGCUUUUACUGACACCAGUCCUACUGGCUUGUAAUGAAUUUUAAAGGCCAAGCUGAGAUCCUCUAAGCCUGGCAGCACUCUCAAGUGGUGGCACUCUCUAAAACAUCCCUCAGUGGAAUGAUCUUCCCGUGUCUGCCAGGACCCUGAGCCUCUGGGUGAGGGUGUGGGGAGUGGUUUCUGUCCCACUGUAAGAGUGGAACAAGUCUGAGACCUCCUAAUGAAAUUGAACGUAUGUAAGUCCAUGGGGCCGGGUGAUAUCCAUCCUUGGGUUCUGAAAGAGUUGGCUGAUGUGGAUGCCAAGCCACUCUCCAUCAUAUUUGAAAAAUCAUGGUUAUCUGGUGAAGUCCCCCGUGACUGGAAAAAUUGAAACAUUACUCCUAUUUUUAAGAAAGGGAGAAAGGAAGACCUAGGGAACUACAGGCUGGUGAGCCUCACCUAUGUGCCCGGGAAGAUCAUGGAGCAGAUCCUCCUAGAAGCCUUUGUUAGGGCACAUACGAGACAAAGAGGUGAUUCGAGACAGCCAGCAUGUCUUCACCAAGGGCAGAUCAUACCUGACCAGUCUGGUGGCCUUCUAUGAUGGAGUGACGACUUCGGUGGAUGGGGGAAGGGCAAUGGAUGUCAUCUACCUGGACAUCUGCCUUUGACAUGGACCCUCAUCAAAUCUUUCUCUCUAAAUUGGAGGGGUAUGGGUUUGAAGGAUGGACCGUUCCAUGGAUUAAGAAUUGGUUGGCUGGACACAGCCAAAGGGUUGUGAUCAAUGGUUCUGUGUCAGGGUGGAGGCCGGUCACAAGUGUCCCUCAGGGGUCGGUCUUGGGACUGGUGCUCUUCAACAUCUUCAUCAGAAUGUGUAAGACCAGUCCUCCUCUUGGGUUCUCCAGCUUCAGAAGGAGCUGAGUCCAUAUGAAGACUCCUGCACAACUAUGUCUUCACAUUGUAUUUUCCAACAUGAUUCAGGUUUGGUCCAGACUCCUUUCAGAUGGAGGGCUGGGAGAUAUUGUGUGCAUCCUUACAUGCCUGUUCCCUAAUAAAAUUCACACACCUCUUCAGAAAUUCAAUAGGAG